UACGUAGGGUGCAAGCGUUGUCCGGAAUUAUUGGGCGUAAAGAGCUCGUAGGCGGUCUGUCGCGUCUGCUGUGAAAACUCGGGGCUUAACCCCGGGCCUGCAGUGGGUACGGGCAGACUGGAGUACUGCAGGGGAGACUGGAAUUCCUGGUGUAGCGGUGGAAUGCGCAGAUAUCCGGAGGAACACCGGUGGCGAAGGCGGCUUCCUGGACCGAUUACUGACGCUGAGGCGCGAAAGCUAGGGGAGCAAACGGG
rnacentral:rRNA from 1 species